AGUGAACGCUGGCGGUAGGCCUAACACAUGCAAGUCGAACGGCAGCACAGUAAGAGCUUGCUCUUACGGGUGGCGAGUGGCGGACGGGUGAGGAAUACAUCGGAAUCUACUUUUUCGUGGGGGAUAACGUAGGGAAACUUACGCUAAUACCGCAUACGGCCUACGGGUGAAAGCAGGGGUUCUUCGGACCUUGCGCGAUUGAAUGAGCCGAUGUCGGAUUAGCUAGUUGGCGGGGUAAAGGCCCACCAAGGCGACGAUCCGUAGCUGGUCUGAGAGGAUGAUCAGCCACACUGGAACUGAGACACGGUCCAGACUCCUACGGGAGGCAGCAGUGGGGAAUAUUGGACAAUGGGCGCAAGCCUGAUCCAGCCAUACCGCGUGGGUGAAGAAGGCCUUCGGGUUGUAAAGCCCUUUUGUUGGGAAAGAAAAGCAGCAGGUUAAUACCCCGCUGUUCUGACGGUACCCAAAGAAUAAGCACCGGCUAACUUCGUG
rnacentral:rRNA from 1 species